rnacentral:rRNA from 1 species
UACAGAGGGGGCAAGCGUUGUUCGGAAUUACUGGGCGUAAAGAGCUCGUAGGCGGUUUGUCGCGUCGUCUGUGAAAACCAGCAGCUCAACUGCUGGCUUGCAGGCGAUACGGGCAGACUUGAGUACUGCAGGGGAGACUGGAAUUCCUGGUGUAGCGGUGAAAAUGCGCAGAUAUCAGGAGGAACACCGGUGGCGAAGGCGGGUCCCUGGGCAGUAACUGACGCUGAGGAGCGAAAGCGUGGGUAGCGAACAAGG